rnacentral:rRNA from 1 species
ACAGAGGUGGCGAGCGUUGUUCGGAUUUACUGGGCGUAAAGGGCGCGUAGGCGGCAAGGUAUGUGAGGUGUGAAAUCCAUGGGCUCAACCCAUGAAGUGCGCCUCAAACUGCUUUGCUUGAGUUCGGGAGGGGAGAUCGGAAUACAGGGUGUAGCGGUGAAAUGCGUUGAUAUCCUGUAGAACACCGGUGGCGAAGGCGGAUCUCUGGAACGUUACUGACGCUGAGGCGCGAAAGUAGGGGGAGCAAACAG